rnacentral:rRNA from 1 species
UUAAAUUGAAGAGUUUGAUCAUGGCUCAGAUUGAACGCUGGCGGCAGGCCUAACACAUGCAAGUCGAACGGUAACAGGAAGCAGCUUGCUGCUUCGCUGACGAGUGGCGGACGGGUGAGUAAUGUCUGGGAAACUGCCUGAUGGAGGGGGAUAACUACUGGAAACGGUGGCUAAUACCGCAUAACGUCGCAAGACCAAAGAGGGGGACCUUCGGGCCUCUUGCCAUCAGAUGUGCCCAGAUGGGAUUAGCUGGUUGGUGAGGUAACGGCUCACCAAGGCGACGAUCCCUAGCUGGUCUGAGAGGAUGACCAGCCACACUGGAACUGAGACACGGUCCAGACUCCUACGGGAGGCAGCAGUGGGGAAUAUUGCACAAUGGGCGCAAGCCUGAUGCAGCCAUGCCGCGUGUAUGAAGAAGGCCUUAGGGUUGUAAAGUACUUUCAGCGGGGAGGAAGGUGUUGUGGUUAAUAACCGCAGCAAUUGACGUUACCCGCAGAAGAAGCACCGGCUAACUCCGUGCCAGCAGCCGCGUAAUACGGAGGGUGCAAGCGUUAAUCGGAAUUACUGGCGUAAAGCGCACGCAGGCGGUCUGUCAAGUCGGAUGUGAAAUCCCCGGGCUCAACCUGGGAACUGCAUUCGAAACUGGCAGGCUUGAGUCUUGUAGAGGGGGGUAGAAUUCCAGGUGUAGCGGUGAAAUGCGUAGAGAUCUGGAGGAAUACCGGUGGCGAAGGCGGCCCCCUGGACAAAGACUGACGCUCAGGUGCGAAAGCGUGGGGAGCAAACAGGAUUAGAUACCCUGGUAGUCCACGCCGUAAACGAUGUCUACUUGGAGGUUGUGCCCUUGAGGCGUGGCUUCCGGAGCUAACGCGUUAAGUAGACCGCCUGGGGAGUACGGCCGCAAGGUUAAAACUCAAAUGAAUUGACGGGGGCCCGCACAAGCGGUGGAGCAUGUGGUUUAAUUCGAUGCAACGCGAAGAACCUUACCUGGUCUUGACAUCCACGGAAGUUUUCAGAGAUGAGAAUGUGCCUUCGGGAACCGUGAGACAGGUGCUGCAUGGCUGUCGUCAGCUCGUGUUGUGAAAUGUUGGGUUAAGUCCCGCAACGAGCGCAACCCUUAUCCUUUGUUGCCAGCGAUUAGGUCGGGAACUCAAAGGAGACUGCCAGUGAUAAACUGGAGGAAGGUGGGGAUGACGUCAAGUCAUCAUGGCCCUUACGACCAGGGCUACACACGUGCUACAAUGGCGCAUACAAAGAGAAGCGACCUCGCGAGAGCAAGCGGACCUCAUAAAGUGCGUCGUAGUCCGGAUUGGAGUCUGCAACUCGACUCCAUGAAGUCGGAAUCGCUAGUAAUCGUGGAUCAGAAUGCCACGGUGAAUACGUUCCCGGGCCUUGUACACACCGCCCGUCACACCAUGGGAGUGGGUUGCAAAAGAAGUAGGUAGCUUAACCUUCGGGAGGGCGCUUACCACUUUGUGAUUCAUGACUGGGGUGAAGUCGUAACAAGGUAACCGUAGGGGAACCUGCGGUUGGAUCACCUCCUUACCUUAAAGAAGC